AAAGACAGAGAGAGAAAAAAAGAAGAUUAAAGCAGAGUCUAUAUUUUUGAAACCCAACCGCUCCAAUUCUUCAAAUCAUCCUCACCGAAUCUUAGUACUAAAUUAAAAACCCACCUCUCUAAUCAUUCCCUCCUCAAUACCCAGAUCUUAGACUUUCAAAUUUUGAUCAUACGGACUAUUUCUUUGCAUCUGGUUUUUCCUCUCUUCUCAAGUUGUGUCAUGGUUUUUCUGCUACAAUUAUAAUCAAAGUUUCAACUUUCAGUCCAUUCCUCGAAAAUCGGGUCUCCAUCCAUGUUAUCGAACUCCAAUUAUUUUCUUUCUCUUGCGUUUACUGAGAUUUGUUCUGAUAAUUCUAAUUGAUCUUCCCCAAUUGGAUUUCAGUUUCAAUUCAAUCAAGUUAUAUUAACAUAAUCUGUACUUGUAUAUUAAUCCAUGUAUCUAUCAUACUAGCUUCACUUUUGAAGUGUCAUUAUUUAUACUGUUUUCCUGGCGUUCAAAAUUCAAAUCCCCAUUCGAG
rnacentral:lncRNA from 1 species